CUGGAUGAUCCUGCCAGUAGUCAUAUGAUUGUCUCCAGAUUAAGCCAUGCAUGUCUAAGUAUAAAUAAUUUAUACAGUGAAACUGCGAAUGGCUCAUUAAAUCAGUUAUCGUUUAUUUGAUAGUUCCUUUACUACAUGGUAUAACUGUGGUAAUUCUAGAGCUAAUACAUGCUUAAAAUCUCGACCUUACGGAAGAGAUGUAUUUAUUAGAUAAAAAAUCAAUGUCUUCGGACUCUUUGAUGAUUCAUAAUAACUUUUCGAAUCGCAUGGCCUUGUGCUGGCGAUGGUUCAUUCAAAUUUCUGCCCUAUCAACUUUCGAUGGUAGGAUAGUGGCCUACCAUGGUUUCAACGGGUAACGGGGAAUAAGGGUUCGAUUCCGGAGAGGGAGCCUGAGAAACGGCUACCACAUCCAAGGAAGGCAGCAGGCGCGCAAAUUACCCAAUCCUAAUUCAGGGAGGUAGUGACAAUAAAUAACGAUACAGGGCCCAUUCGGGUCUUGUAAUUGGAAUGAGUACAAUGUAAAUACCUUAACGAGGAACAAUUGGAGGGCAAGUCUGGUA
rnacentral:rRNA from 1 species